rnacentral:snoRNA from 1 species
AAUCCGUGGUGCAGGCAACACCGAAGUAAGUGCUUGUACCACUCCCAGGCAUCAUACAUGCUCUCGUCAUCGAACUGCACAAAAGAAGAUAUGUCAUUUCUCAAUCU